rnacentral:misc_RNA from 1 species
GAAAUGCGAUAAGUAAUGUGAAUUGCAGAAUUCAGUGAAUCAUCGAAUCUUUGAACGCACAUUGCGCCCGGCAGCAAUCUGCCGGGCAUGCCUGUCCGAGCGUCAUUUCUGCCCUCGAGCGCGGUUCGGCCCCUGUGGGGGGCCCGAGCCGCCGCCCGGUGUUGGGGCGCUGCGGGCUCGCCUCGAGCAAGCCCGCAGGCCCCGAAAUGAAGUGGCGGUCCCGCCGCGGCGCCCCCUGCGUAGUAAGUCUCUUGCACCUCGCAUCGGGCCCCGGCGUCGGCCAGCCGUCGAACCUGUCUCUCUGAUGGUUUGACCUCGGAUCAGGUAGGGUUACCCGCUGAACUUAA